rnacentral:rRNA from 1 species
UACGUAGGGUGCGAGCGUUAAUCGGAAUUACUGGGCGUAAAGUGUGCGCAGGCGGCCGCGCAAGUCGAGUGUGAAAUCCCCGAGCUUAACUUGGGAAUUGCGCUCGAAACUACGUGGCUGGAGUGUGGCAGAGGAAGGUGGAAUUCCACGUGUAGCGGUGAAAUGCGUAGAGAUGUGGAGGAACACCUGUGGCGAAAGCGGCGCACUGGACCACAACUGACGCUGAGGCGCGAAAGCUAGGGGAGCAAACAGG